CGCAAACCCUGCCCCCGCCCCAGAACCACGCCUCCAUGAGUAGAACCACGCCCACUCUGGAACCGGCCCCGCCUCCGAGAGCUCCUCCUACAACCUGCCGGGUCUGAGGGCCCGGGCUCAACUGCAUCCAGACCCCGCCUACUCCGGUGCCUGGUCACGCCCAUAGUAGCCCCGCCCACAGCCCGCUCAGGCUUCCCACUUGCCGCUCCCUCAUCCGACUUCCACCCAGACCACGCCUACCGGAUGCCCGGUCACGCCCACAGGAGCCCCGCCUUCAACGUUCCUUGUGAGCGACAGGCAAGACAUUCCCGACUAUCACCUAGACGCAGUUUGAAUCCUUGGCAACCCUGCUCUUCUCCUGCGUCUUCUCGCCACCUGCCUAGGCACCAUUAGAGGAUCUGACUCUUCCCUCUGACCUUAGAGACUAGAUAGUUACUGGACAUGGGAAAGGGGCCCAAAGGCGGUGAGUGUUAGCCGCUCCAGGGAACCUGCUCCAUGCGGAUCUCAUCAGUUCGGCUCUGCCGGUGAGCGAUCCCUGGACAGGAAGCGGAAAACCGAGGCGAAUCCCAACUUCUGCAAGCCGCCUUUCUGUGUCGAGUUUCUCUGCUUCAAGUCGGGUUAGAAGAAGUUUUUUUUUUAAAAGCCGCCGGGAAAAUGUCUUUUACAGUAGAAGGGACGUGUGCUAUAGUAACUUACAAAUGUAACCCUGAUGUAAAGAAAACCGGCAGAUGGAAGGAAGAGGGAUGGAUGUUCUCUUCCACCGGGAGUCAGUCCUGGUGUGACCACUGAGGUUUACAAGAGGAUGAAGGAAAGUUAAGAGGGAGCCAGGAUAAGUAUCAACAGUUCUCAACAUCAACCAAAGCGCUUGGCCAAAGGAAUCCUGCCACCACCAACUGCGUUCAGAUAGGGCAGCUGAACAAUUAAGUCAUUAUGGCAUUAAUCUGCACACAUCUCUGCAAGAGAAAUGAUUUAGGGAGCUUGUUGGAGUGUGUGGGUGUGGCUUGGUUCCCUGAAAUAGUCCUGCUCCAGACUUGUUGGGCAACCUUGGCCCUGGCCUUUCAGAAGUCACCAUCCAAGGCAAUGCUGGCUAAUCAGCUGAAACAGAUAGAUGUGCUGCGCUAACACAGCUGUGAGUAACAGAGGAGCCUGGGGCUACCAAACUGCAUGGGCACUCAGUACUUUUCCCUCCCUUUCUGCAAAUUUAAAAUAAAAUAAAAAAACUAAAGUCUGUUAAUUUUUAUAAGACAGAAUCUGAAGCAUCCUGAGAUAUUCCAGAAUUCUCCGUGUAGCUUGAGAAGACCUUGACUAUCUGAUUCUCCUACCUCUACCUACCAAGUUUGGGGCCUCAUGUCCCCUACCAACUGAGUCAUAGCCCCAACUUCAGGUGUUGAAACAAAGCAGCUCAGGCCCAUCUCAAACUCAGUAUCCUCCUGCCUCAGCUUCCUGAGCACUGGGAUGACAGGCAUGGGCCAACACACUGGGCUUGGUUUGUUGUUUUUAAAGGGCUGUUGUGUUUGUUAUUAUAAUUUAAAGUAACAAUAAAGAACUACGUGUUAAAACAACACAAUUUGAGAAAAACAACUGAAUGAUCACAAAUGAAAACUACAGUAAAUAAAAUGGUAUUGCUUAUUUCUUUUUUAAUAGAAAAUAUUGAGUUAUUAAAUUUACUUCUGCAUUUAUUCUGAUUUAACAUUUUAUUUUGAUUGAACAAUGAUAAUCUGGUCACUUGUAUACAUUUUAUGUAUUUUAAUAUUCUUUCAUAAUGUAUGAAAUAUUCUUUAUAUUACAUCAGAACAAUAAAUACUUCAAAGUGUUUAUUUAUGACAUGAAGUCUGAAGCCCAUAUGAAUGAAUAGUUUUGACUUUUUGUUUGGAUUUUGUUGAGACUAGAUCUUUUUAUUUAGCCUUGGCUGUCCUGGGACUCACUAUAUGAACCCAACUGGCCUCAAAGUCAGAGAUCUGUUUGCCUCUGCUUUCCUAGUACAGGGACUAAAAGCAUGAGACACCAUGCUCAGCUCAUAGUUGGGACUAUUAUAAAAAUAUUAAUAUUGCUUGCCACUUAAGAUAUGAUUGAUAACCAUACGCUACUUAACUCAUAUAGAAUAAUUGCACACCAGAUUCUGAUUAUGAAGUUGAAUUUAUGCAAUCACUUUAUUUCUUUAAAAAAGUGUUUAACACCUAGGGCAACAUUGUAAAAGAGAAUUGAAACACAAAUGGAACAAAAGCCUGGCCCUGAGGUAGAGUGGGUGCCUGGAAAUUUGCAAUUUGAUAAGCCCACAGGUAGCCUUCCUGAGGCUUGACAAUCCUUGUGGAGUUGGUUAGAUUUUCUGUCUGUGUGCACACUCUCAAGAAGGUGGAAAGAUAAAUCUUAGCAGUAAGACUGUUUGCAGAACAAAUAGCGAAGUUAUUCUAAGCAUUCUGAGCAGGCUACACUACCUCCAAGCCUUGCGGGUGGAAUAAGUUCCUUGAGGGGCUGUGUUGAAUUCACAAGGUCUCCAACAAGCCUGACAGAGAAAGGAAGGCACUUUAAGUCAAUAGAUUUCUAAGAAUAUCUACUCAUGCUACUUUUCCUAGUUGAUUGGUUGGUUGGUUUUUUUGGUUUUUUUUUUUUUUUUGAGUUGUUAAAACUUCCUCUUGGGGCUGUGCUACUGACUGGACAAAGCUAAAGGUCAAACACUGCCUCUGUCAAGGGACAAAGUCACAAGGAUGUUAAAUCUGAGCCACGCUCUGCUCUCAGCUCUCCUACACAGGACUCACAGAUAUUAUACCAGGCUAAUAAGGUGCAAAAUCAAACACCUCCAAAACUGAAGUGAAGCUUUCUUACUUACUGGCAAAUAUUAAUCCACAACUGGAAAAAAAAUGACUUAUCAGCUGGAUCAUUUUCCCUAGCUCAAGCUCUGUAUGUCUGUGACUGACUUGAGUAAUAUAACCCUGCCCUGUUUGUUCUCCACCGUGUGCUUGUUUUCUGCUGCGAUGUGUUGUCUUAAUUUCCUUUAUACGUUCACACGGAGUUCUGUUGUUGUUCGCUCUCUUGAUGCUGAUGCUUAUCUUGAUGUGUGUGCAGGUGGAAUGGUUCCACUAUCUUUAUUUUUAUUAAAUACCCAGUGCUUAA